UGCAUAUAAAUAAAAUAAAGAUCCAGGGCUGGGGCUGGGGCUCAGUGGUAGAGCGCUCGCCUAGCACGCAUGAGGCACUGGGUUCAAUCCUCAGCACCACAUACAAAUAAAAAAUAAAAAUAUUGUGACAACCUAAAACUAAAAAAUAAAUAUAUUUUUAAAAUUAAAAAAAAAAUCCAUUGACAGCUAGAUUUUUUAAAAAAGUGUAUGUGUGCGCAAUAAAAUCCUGACAGAUCACAUUCAAGAACAUAUUAAAAAGAUAAUGCACCACGAUCAGAGGGGUUCAUUGUAGGAAUGCAGGGCUAGUUCAACAUACGGAAAUCAAUAAAAGUAAUUCAUCACACCAAUAGACUUAAAAACAAGAAUAAUAUAAUCAUUUUAAUAGAUGCAGAAAAAGCAUCUGACAAAAUACAACACACUUUUAUGUCCAAAACACUAAAAAAACUAAGAAUAGUAGGAACAUAGCUCAACAUUGUAAAAGCUAUCUAUUCUAAACCCAAGGCCAGCAUCAUUCUAAAUGGAGAAAAAUUGAAAGCAUUCCUCUAAAAACUAGAACAAGACAGGGAUGCCCUCUUUCACCACUUCUAUUCAACAUCAUCCUUGAAACUCUAGCCAGAGCAAUUAGACAAAAUAAAGAAAUUAAAGGGAUAUAAAUAGGUAAAGAAGAAUUCAAACUAUCACUAUUAGUUGGUGACAUGAUUCUAUAUUUAGAAGAACCAAAAAAACUCCACCAGAAAACUUCUAGAACUAAUAAAUUAAUUCAGCAAUGUAGCAGGAUAUAAAAUGAACACCCAUAAAUCAAAUGCAUUCCUAUACAUCAGCGAUGAAUCCACUGAAAAAGAAAUUAGGAAAAGUACCUCACACAUAGUAGCCUCAAAGAAAGAAAGAAAGAAAGAAAUGGAAGAAAAUCUCAGAAAAUGGAAAGAUCUCCCAUGCUCCUGGAUAGGCAGAAUUAAUAUUGUCAAAAUGGCCAUACUACCAAAAGUGUUAUACAGAUUUAAUAAAUUCCUAUUAAAGUCCCAAUGAAAUUCUUCAUAGAAAUAGAAAAAGCAGGGCUGGGUUGUGGCUCAGAGGUAGAGCGCUCGCCUAGCAUGUGCAAGGCUCUGGGUUCGAUCCUCAGCACCACAUAAAAAUCAAUAAAAUAAAGGUACAUAAAAAAAGAAAAAGCAAUAAUGAAAUUUAUUUGGAAAAAUAAGAGAACCCAGAAUACCUAAAGCAAUCUUUAGUAAGAAAAGUGAAGCAGGAGGCAUCACAAUACCAGAACUUCAACUAUACUAUAGAGCUAUAGUAACAAAAAUGGCAUGGUAUUGGUGCCAAAAUAGACUUGUAGACCUAUAGUACAGAAUAGAAGACACAGAGACACACCCACAUAAAUAUGGUUAUGUCACACUAGACAAAGGUGCCAAAAACAUUCACUAGAGAAAAGACAGCCUCCUCAACAAAUGAUGCUGGAAAAACUGGAAAUCCAUAUGUAGCAAAAUGAAAUUAACCCUCUAUCUCUCACCCUGCACAAAAGUCAACUCAAAGUGGAUCAGAACUUAAGCACUAGAAUAGAGACCCUGGCCUAAUAGAAGAAAAGUAGGCCCAAAUCCUCACCACGUCAGCCUGGGAUCUGACUUCCUUACCAAGACCCCUAAAGCUCAAGAAGUAAAAUCAAGGAUCAGUAAAUGGGAUGGAUUCCAAUUAAAAAGCUUCUUCUCAGCAAAGGAAACAAUAACAUGAGGAGAGAGCCUACAGAUGGGAGGAAAUUUUUAUCACAUGCACCUCUGAUAAAGUAUUAAUCUCCAGAAUAUGUAAAGAACUCAAAAACUUACACCCCCCCCCAAAAUCCAAUCAAUCAAUGGGCUAAGGAACUGAACAGAUACUUCACAGAAGAAAUACAAUCAAUCAGCAAACAUAUGAAAAAGUGUUCAACAUCUCUAGCAAUUAGAGAAAUGCAAAUCAAAACUACUCUAGGAUUUCAUCUCACUCCUGUCAGAAUGACAAUCAUCAAGAAUAUAGGCAACAGUAAAUGUUGGUAAGGAUGUGGGGAAAAAGGCACACACAUACAUUGCUGGUGGGACUGCAGAUUGGUGCAACCACUAUGGAGAGCAGUCUGGAGAUUCCUCAGAAUAUUGGGAAUGGAACCACCAUUUGACCCAGCUAUCCCACUCCUCGGUUUAUACCCAAAAGACUUAAAAUCAGCAUAUUCAGGGACACAGACACAUCACUGUAUAUAGCAGCUCAAUUCACAAUAGUAGACUAUGAAACCAACCUAGGUGUCCUUCAGUAGAUGAAUGGAUAAAGAAAAUGUGGUAUAUAUAUUCAAUGGAAUAUUACUCAGCUUUAAAGAAGAGUGAAAUUAUGGUAUUUGCCAGUAAAUGGAGUUGGAGAAUAUCAUGCUAAGCGAAAUAAGCCAAUCCCGAAAAACCAAAGGUCAAAUGUUUUCUCUAAUAUGGGGUGCUAAUUCACAGUAAGGUGGGG
rnacentral:lncRNA from 1 species